rnacentral:tRNA from 1 species
CGGAUGUAGCCAAGUGGAUCAAGGCAGUGGAUUGUGAAUCCACCAUGCGCGAGAA